rnacentral:rRNA from 1 species
CACGCCGUAAACGAUGAGUACUAGGUGUAGGGGGUAUCGACCCCCCCUGUGCCGCAGUAAACACAAUAAGUACUCCGCCUGGGAAGUACGAUCGCAAGAUUAAAACUCAAAGGAAUUGACGGGGACCCGCACAAGCAGCGGAGCAUGUGGUUUAAUUCGAAGCAACGCGCAGAACCUUACCAACCCUUGACAUCGGGAUCGCGGAUUACAGAGAUGUUUUCCUUCAGUUCGGCUGGAUCCCAGACAGGUGC